GCACAAGCAGCGGAGCGUGUGGUUUAAUUCGAGGCUACACGAAGAACCUUACCAGGGUUUGACAUGCAAGUGGUAGGAAGCCGAAAGGUGACCGACCCUUCGGGGAGCUUGCACAGGUGCUGCAUGGCUGUCGUCAGCUCGUGUCGUGAGAUGUUCGGUUAAGUCCGCUAACGAGCGCAACCCUCGCUGUGUGUUAUAUGUGUCACACGGGACUGCCGGUCUUAAGCCGGAGGAAGGUGGGGAUGAUGUCAAGUCAGCAUGGCCUUUAUAUCCUGGGCUACACACACGCCACAAUGGCCAACACAAUAGGUUGCUAAGCCGCGAGGUGGCGCCAAUCCAUAAAGUUGGUCUCAGUUCAGAUUGUAGGCUGCAACCCGCCUGCAUGAAGAUGGAGUUGCUAGUAACCGCAGGUCAGCUAUACUGCGGUGAAUACGUUCCCGGGGCUU
rnacentral:rRNA from 1 species